rnacentral:rRNA from 1 species
AUACGGAGGAUGCGAGCGUUAUCCGGAUUUAUUGGGUUUAAAGGGUGCGUAGGCGGAUUAAUAAGUCAGUGGUGAAAUACUGCAGCUUAACUGUAGAAUUGCCGUUGAUACUGUUAGUCUUGAGUAUGGUCAAGGUAGGCGGAAUGUGUAAUGUAGCGGUGAAAUGCAUAGAUAUCACGCAGAACUCCGAUUGCGAAGGCAGCUUACUAAGCUACAACUGACACUGAAGCACGAAAGC